AACGAACGCUGGCGGCAUGCCUAACACAUGCAAGUCGAACGAGACCUUCGGGUCUAGUGGCGCACGGGCGCGUAACGCGUGGGAACCUGCCCUUAGGUUCGGAAUAACUCCCCGAAAGGGGUGCUAAUACCGGAUAAUGUCUUCGGACCAAAGAUUUAUCGCCUUUGGAUGGGCCCGCGUUGGAUUAGCUAGUUGGUAGGGUAAAAGCCUACCAAGGCGACGAUCCGUAGCUGGUCUGAGAGGAUGAUCAGCCACACUGGGACUGAGACACGGCCCAGACUCCUACGGGAGGCAGCAGUGGGGAAUAUUGGACAAUGGGCGAAAGCCUGAUCCAGCAAUGCCGCGUGAGUGAUGAAGGCCUUAGGGUUGUAAAGCUCUUUUACCCGGGAUGAUAAUGACAGUACCGGGAGAAUAAGCUCCGGCUAACUCCGUG
rnacentral:rRNA from 1 species